GAGGCUUAAACUCUUAGUUUACUUGCUUUUCAUAAAAAGCAUAUGGUUUGUGUUGUAUGUAUGCAUUUAAACCAUUUAGUUCGUGUGAGUGGGCAAGCAUGAUCUAAAUUGGAUAAUUUUCAAGUUUCUAAAGUAAUGACCGUAUGAGUCCUUUAGCGUAAUUUCGCUUAAAUAGAUACUAUUUAUAUAAAUGUAAAGUUUAGAAGUGGUAUUGAUUGGAUGUAUGUUCCACUUAUCAUAUCUUCGAGGGGGCAUACUUCCACAGGUCCCAUUGAUGUUCGAUGAGAGAUAGAUGCUAGAAUUUUAAGUAACCCGGGUAAGAUGGGGGUAAAUAAUGCCCUCUCCGGAAGACGGGGUAAGACAUAGACAAAUACGUACUAUGUCCCGUGAGCAUACAUUCAGAUUCAGUGUAUUUCAUGUAUUGCUCGUCCGGGUAAGAUGGGGGUAAAUAAUGCCCUCUCCGGAAGACGGGGUAAGACAUAGGUAAAUACGUACUAUGUCUAUGUCCCAUGAGCAUAGAUUCAGAUUUAGAGUAUUUCAUGUUUUGCUUGUUUAUGCUUCAUGAUUUCAGCUUUAGCUUCAGUGUUUGUAUAUAUUUAAUAUACUUGGACUGUGUAAUUGCUUUUAUGCAUUAUCAGGGAUUUCAAAGACUUGCCCCAGGGGUAAGCUGAGAGUGUCGAUGAUCUUGCUGGGUCUUUUAGACUCACGCUUGUUGAUGUUGUAUGUGUGCAGGUGUGGUUAACGGUGACCAGGUAGCCGAUACUUGAUUCAUUCCAGCUUCGUUCAGUCCAGUUCAGUAGAGGUGAGCCACCAUUAGAUCAUGGCGGCCUCUUCUUCUUUAGUUGACUUAGUAGUAUUCCGAGCUACGUCUCGUACUUCUAUAUUCAGACUAGUAGUUCCAUGACUUAGACAUUUGAUGGGGUUUAUGGGCAAGACUCAGUAUUUAUAUUUCGCUUCCGCACUUUUCUUUAUAUUAUGAGACUUUGCGUA